rnacentral:sRNA from 12 species
AAGCGGGUUCGUAAAGCCUGGGAGUGCUGGGCCUCUGUGAGGCGCCCAAUCCGGCAUAGAACCGGUGGUUAUCGGCGCCCAGGGUGAGCCCGCCUU